GGGCCGAGCGCCUGUAUUUGGCUCCGGCGUCGGCAACGGCGGCGACAACCUCGACGUGGCCAGAUCGCACAGCAGCGCCGAGCGCGCCCCACUGGUCAAGGGGGGCGAUGCCGGCGCGGUGCGCCGCGAGGGCAAUACUGACGUGUCCACGCGAGAGACCCGCAUCAAUGGCCUCUACGGGCACGAUGCGCGCGGCUUCGGGCCUGCCGAGGAGCCACUCCAUGACGUCGACGCGCCCGGCGGCGGCGGCCCCCCAUGCCGCGCAUCCAGUGUGCCAGACGGGCACGGGCUCGCUCCUCUGGCGCACGUUGGGAUCGGGCACGGGCUCGCCGGCCGCCCAGCGGAGGAUAUCCAUAUGUCCGCGCGCGGCCGCCUCGGCAAGAACCUGACCGAUCUCCAGGUUGCGGUCUGGGUCAGAGUCCUGGUGGCGCAGUGGGUACCAGUCAUAGACCAGGGCCACGACGGCGGCGGCGCCCAACUUCACAGCGAGAAACACGCUAAACGGGCCGACGUCGUAUUUGGCGCCGUGCGUCUCGGCCUUGUCGAUCAGCCAACGGGCAAUACCGAAAUGGCCUGCCUCGACUGCCCGUCCAAGCGAGUUAUUUACGGGGCGGUACGCGCCGUCACACCCACAGCGAUCGAGCCACUCGGCGGCCUCGGGUUGGUCGUCGUUAAAGGCACUUUGGCCUACGAGAGGCGCGCAUCCACACCCCGCGGUCGAGGAGGCGCGACGCGGCAGCGUGCCCCCGACGAUGCGCCGGUGGAUGACUUGCAUCACGUCCAAGUGGCCUUUCCGGGCCGCGCGCAACAUGCACUCGACGCCGAGGUCAGGUGGCGGCGGCGUCACCGACGCUAUGGCACCAAAGUCCAGCAGGCGAUCGACCAUGUCGGCGCGUCCGCAGGCGAUGGCCUCAAAGAGCGCGCCGACGCCCGACGACGGGUAGCCUCUGUGGUCUUUUUUCUCGGCAUAGCCCCAGUGAACAAGGCCAGUGUCAUGCGAGUAGCAGCGAACGAGACCGGCAUCGGGGAGCAGGCCGGACGUGCAAAACAGAGGCCUCAUGGGGCUACCACAAAAGCGUUCGAGCACGUCGAGCCUGCCGCCGCGUACCGCGGGCAACAGGAGCGCUUCGGUGGCCGGCGAGCGCCCGCGCACGACCUCAACGAUGGCAAGCGGCGCGCCGCGCUCGAUCACGUCGACGACGUUGCCGUCAAACAAGCGCACGAGCGCCGAGUCGAUUCGCAUAGGUCGAAAGAGCGGCGAGGCGCACAGGCAUGCGGCAAUGUCGGCCACCCUCGGCAGAAAGGAUGCAAUGUGAUCCAUCAGUUCCGGCGGCAGCCGAGCCAGACCGACGUCGCACGCGGCCUCUUGCAUUUGUCUUUCUUUUCUUUUUGCCUUGCCAAACAAAGCGAGAUAAAAUAAAAACAGGCAGACACACGGAGCCAACAACGAAAGCGAC
rnacentral:lncRNA from 1 species